CUCCUAGCUCCUGUUGACAACCCAGAGGAGUGUACACUUGGCAGUGAGGAGGAGGAGGUGGCCUCUGAUACGGUCCUGUUGAGAUCCUACAGGACCUCAUAAUAGAAGACAUCGAAGAUUCCGAGCUGCACCCUGAUGUGGUAAGAUGCAUUUCUUUGUCUCGAAGAAUAAUGUUUUUUUCUGGGGCCUCUGGAAUAUCAAGUGAAUAUCAUUUUUGACUGCCAUUG
rnacentral:lncRNA from 13 species